rnacentral:rRNA from 1 species
UACGAAGGGGGCUAGCGUUGCUCGGAAUCACUGGGCGUAAAGCGCACGUUAGGCGGCUUUUUAAGUCAGAGGUGAAAUCCUGGAGCUCAACUCCAGAACUGCCUUUGAUACUGGAGAGCUUGAGUCCGGGAGAGGUGAGUGGAACUGCGAGUGUAGAGGUGAAAUUCGUAGAUAUUCGCAAGAACACCAGUGGCGAAGGCGGCUCACUGGCCCGGUACUGACGCUGAGGUGCGAAAGCGUGGGGAGCAAACAGG